rnacentral:sRNA from 1 species
UUCAGUGGGUGAAAGGGAGGGGAAAGGAAGUGCGAAAAGAUUUGGGGGGAGACGUGGCUAGUCUAUGUAGGAGUACUCGCUAGCAGAGGCGCGGAGGACGAGGGUGGUUUUGUUUGUGGCCGAGGAGGAUCCCCCGCGGCGCAACCUUAAAUGCCGGAGAUUUUCACCUGCGCUGCUGCGGCAGCAACAACAACGAGACGGAACGGAAGCGGAGAGUGUGGGAGACGACGAAGAAAAGAAAAUAAAACCCGGCGCGUGCUUGCGUUGCGUUGCGCGACGCACGCAUUCAAUUGACGAGGGGGGCUUUUGCUUGCAAGUACAGCGCGCGCGCGCAACGGCGACGGUGACGCCCGGGUACUAGCGUCGUGCAGUCGUGCUGCUGCCACUACUCGAGUAGUCGAGUGGCCGGGAUACGCAAGCGGGGGAGAGAUAGAACUAUCACUGGUAUAUGUCCUUUCAUGGGGAGUACUUUGUACCAAAGCAAACUAGCCGAAGAGUAACUUCGGGCCAUCAGAUCAAGCAUUCAAGUGAGUAAUUCAGAUGAAGUAUUUAUUACUGUAUGAUAAGCACCACUAGUAGUACUAAUUGUUGGGUACCCAUCGCAAGUGUAUCAUAACUUUGUGGCCGUGACCUCAUGUCGCAUUUGGGCCUACUCCUACCGUCCUACGCAAGUGUACAUCUAGCAACCUCCUCGGCCGAUCCUAAAAUACAAGCAUUUCUAGCUAAAUUUAGAUUGAAAUGUUUAAAUUUUGGGUACAGUUAGUAACUCUUUUUAAGCUAUAUUGCUCUUAGCAAAAUUAACUCCAUCAUAAUAUUUAUGGGAAUGCUAGGUACAGGAAAUCCAUUCCUCGUGUUUGGGACGGGAUCUCUCACUUCCUCGCGCCGCUAUGACAAAGAACGACCUGAAGAUGGCUAGAUUCCACGACGAGAUUGUUGCACGGUGGUGGCUAGAUUUUGCAGCGGCUGUUUGUGGUGCGUUGGUGCAGUGCGGGUUCUUCACACACAGGGGCGGUGAUGGUAUGGACUGGACUGGUCGAGCUGAUGGCUGUGACGAAGCCUUAACAUUGAUAGAUAGGGGGCAAUUUGGUCUCCUAUAGCCACACAAUGCAAAAGGACGGGAUGGGUCUCGUUUAGAAGAAACAGAGGAGGAAGAUGUGAAGGAAAGAGGAAGAAUAUAGGAAAUGGAGGGGAAAUGGAAAAGGAAGGUAGAUUUGGCAUCGCCUGCGUUUUUCGCCAUCGUCUCACGGUGAGAGAAUCGCAGCCGGUAACCAUCUCCGCUCCUCUCCCUCCCCUCUAAGCUUCAUAUAUGAUACCCGACGGGUACCAAGUCUGGUACUAGUAGUUAUCUGCCUGGUAUCAUUAGGUAUCGGCUGGUAUCCAUAUGUAUCAAUUGAUGUACUAUAUCUGAUACUGAUAAGUAUCAGAGUCUAAUUCCUUAUUGGUAUCAUUUGGUUUAG